rfam:Stegodyphus mimosarum contig20047, whole genome shotgun sequence.
GCCUUCGUGGUGUAGUGGUCUGCUUGCUCGACGCGUAACCGAGAGGUCCGUGGUUCGAUUCCCGGCGAAGGCG